UCUCUCUCUCAUCUUCUUCAGUUCUACACUUCGCUUAGUAUCUGUAUCUGCAUAACAAUGGAGGAAGAAGCCUCCACCUUGAAGCUAAUCAUGGAGAAAGGCCCUCGAGAGGGCGAAACCCUAGAAUACAGACCUGGAUCCGUGAUCCGAAUAGGCAGAGUCGUCCGUGGCAACACAUUCGCCAUCAAAGACGCAGGUAUUUCUUCCAAACACCUCUUGAUCGAAUCCAAAUCGGGCAAAUGGGUCAUCACCGACCUCGAUACCUCUAACGGCACCGUUUUGAACGGUUCACAGCUCCAGCCUCUGAGCCCCUCCGAUCUCGGCGAUGGCGACACCAUCAAGUUCGGCGAGUAUACCUCCAUUAAGGUGAAGAUUGAGGUCAAGGGCGAUGAUAAUCGGUUGCGGCGAAACCCUAGAAAUCGAGCGGCUAAGGAGGAGGAGGAAUCGUGUGGUGUGGGUGUUGUGGCAGAGAAGCCGAAUUUGAGUUCGAUUGGUGAUUGUGGUGCGUUAGGGUUACGGUUUGAUGGACAAUUGGUGAAUAAGACGGAGGUUGCGGCAGAGAAUAAGAGGCGGCGAGGUCCUCCAAGGAGAGGUAAGGCUGUGACUACUGAGAUUCAAGAGAGAUUAUGUGAGGUUGAGAACAUUGGUGCAGAAUUGGGGAAAGAAGUGGUGGUGGUGGAAGAGAAGAACAGACGGCCAGGUCGGCCAAGGAAAGGUAAGGUUUUGAAGAGUGAGCCUGAAGAGAGCUUGUGUGAGAUUGUUGAAGUUGAAAAAUUGGACAAUGUAGGUCCAAUUGAGACAAAACAGGGGAGGCAACGGCAAGUGAGUACUAGGAGGACUUGCAGUUCGAAAAAGGAAGCUAAUUCAAGUCUAGAUGGAAAUGGGUGUCAAGAACUAGAUCCUUCAGCUCAGAUUGUUGAUAAAAAGACCGGAGGGGGUAUGAGGGAUGAGCCAUUGAAGAGCGUUGAGAAUGAGGUUUUGGAAGAAAGAGGAGAUGUGAAGGAGUCAAAUUUGGGGCAAGAAGACUGUAAAAAAAUUAAAGAGAAUUCACUGAAUGAGGAACCAGAAGCUGUUCAAACUGUUGUAUUGGAGGAUAAGGAGGUUGGGGAGAAUGCAGAUUUGGGGCAGCAAGGCUUGAAUGAGGAGGGUGGUGUUGAGGCUGGAGACGGGCCAGAUUUGGAGAAGAUGACUCUUGGGGAUUGGUUUGAUUAUUUGGAGGUGUAUUUGCCGAAACAGAUAUAUGAUGAGACUGAAGAGAUAAUUUUGAGAAUGAAGCAGAAAGCAGAGAAAUUUCACGAGUUUGUUUUGCAGCAAAAGAAUGAUAAAGAGAAGGGUAAGCUGCCUAUGGGGUAGGUGGAAGAUUCAGAGCACUUUGAACUAUCUGUCUCAUAGGAAAAGGUCAAAUUUUGCUUAAAUAGGAUGGGAUCAAAUACAGCUCCAGGUCUUGAUCAAUGGUCGAUCUUAUUAAUGGGAAACAGGUUAGCAAUAGCAGGCUGAAGCAGCUGGUUAUGGACAGCCUGGAGCUAGCUCAAGGUGUUUGAUCCACUGCAAGUGCAUUUUUCACCAUUGAGAGAGCCAAAUUUGUUGCAGAUUCUAGGUCCACAUAUGCAUUCCACAACACAUCCAUACGUACGUGUUUUGGCUCAUUCCCUCCUUUCUUGGAGCCACUUUUGUUGUGUGAUGCGUUGGGUACUUCUCAGUUUAGAUGUGUAUCUGAAGUCUGACUAUGUACUAAAUUUCUCUUAAAAUAAAUAGAGCUGUAGAAUUGCUUGUGAAGUGUGAACUAGUUUUAGUGCCAUUAGUUAUUGUAGUUAUUCAUAUUAAUUAUGACAAUAUUCAUUUGGUUUUCCAUGCAAUUUACUUGAUUACAGAUGCUCUUGACUUU